rnacentral:rRNA from 1 species
AUGGAGAUCGGCACGGGCGCUGUCACGGGACUUGUCGCCGUCGCCGCAGCGGUCUUGCUCCUCGUGGGAUCGGCGGUGAUCGCUGCUGCAGCGGGCGGCGUCGGCGUGGGCAGGCCCUGCUUCGACGCGUGCUUCGACCAGUGCGUGCCGCGCGAGGAGUUCUGGUUCUGCCAGUUCUCCUGCUACCACAGGUGCUCCGGCGGCCGUUCGGCGGCGGCGGUGAAGGCUCGCGACGGCGACGGGGGCGAUUGCGAGCACUCGUGCGUGCUCUCCAUGUGCGGCCAGCUCCACCCGGACAGCAAGAUGAUGGCCGUGUGCCUGGACACGUGCCACAAGAGCUAUGCGACCAAGGGAUGCAGGCGGCCGGGCACAAGUUCGGACAUGUGA